rnacentral:rRNA from 1 species
CUACGGGUUGUAGCAGUGGGGAAUAUUGGACAAUGGGGGAAACCCUGAUCCAGCAAUGCCGCGUGUGUGAAGAAGGCCUGCGGGUUGUAAAGCACUUUCGGUUGGGAGGACUGCUUCUAGCACUAAUAUUGUUGGAAGUUGACGUUACCUUCAGAAGAAGCACCGGCUAACUCCGUGCCAGCAGCCGCGGUAAUACGGAGGGUGCAAGCUUUAAUCGGAAUUACUGGGCGUAAAGCGCGCGGAGGCGGCUAGAUCAGUCGGGUGUGAAAGCCCCGGGCUUAACCUGGGAACUGCAUCCGAUACUGUCUAGCUUGAGUACAGGAGAGGAGAGUGGAAUUCCACAUGUAGCGGUGAAAUGCGUAGAUAUGUGGAGGAACACCAAUGGCGAAGGCAGCUCUCUGGCCUGAUACUGACGCUGAGGUGCGAAAGCGUGGGGAGCAAACAGGAUUAGAAACCCUGGUAGUC